rnacentral:rRNA from 1 species
AGUGAACGCUGGCGGUAGGCCUAACACAUGCAAGUCGAACGGCAGCACAGUAAGAGCUUGCUCUUACGGGUGGCGAGUGGCGGACGGGUGAGGAAUACAUCGGAAUCUACUUUUUCGUGGGGGAUAACGUAGGGAAACUUACGCUAAUACCGCAUACGACCUACGGGUGAAAGCAGGGGAUCUUCGGACCUUGCGCGAUUGAAUGAGCCGAUGUCGGAUUAGCUAGUUGGCGGGGUAAAGGCCCACCAAGGCGACGAUCCGUAGCUGGUCUGAGAGGAUGGUCAGCCACACUGGAACUGAGACACGGUCCAGACUCCUACGGGAGGCAGCAGUGGGGAAUAUUGGACAAUGGGCGCAAGCCUGAUCCAGCCAUACCGCGUGGGUGAAGAAGGCCUUCGGGUUGUAAAGCCCUUUUGUUGGGAAAGAAAAGCAGCAGGUUAAGACCCCGCUGUUCGGACGGUACCCAAAGAAGAAGCACCGGCUAACUUCGU